rnacentral:sRNA from 1 species
AAAACUGUUACCGAUCCUUAUCCAGACGUAACAAAAGCCGGGGUUUACGGUAACGAAAUCCCG